rnacentral:rRNA from 1 species
GUGAACGCUGGCAGUAGGCCUAACACAUGCAAGUCGAACGGCAGCACAGUAAGAGCUUGCUCUUACGGGUGGCGAGUGGCGGACGGGUGAGGAAUACAUCGGAAUCUACUUUUUCGUGGGGGAUAACGUAGGGAAACUUACGCUAAUACCGCAUACGACCUACGGGUGAAAGCAGGGGAUCUUCGGACCUUGCGCGAUUGAAUGAGCCGAUGUCGGAUUAGCUAGUUGGCGGGGUAAAGGCCCACCAAGGCGACGAUCCGUAGCUGGUCUGAGAGGAUGAUCAGCCACACUGGAACUGAGACACGGUCCAGACUCCUACGGGAGGCAGCAGUGGGGAAUAUUGGACAAUGGGCGCAAGCCUGAUCCAGCCAUACCGCGUGGGUGAAGAAGGCCUUCGGGUUGUAAAGCCCUUUUGUUGGGAAAGAAAAGCAGCAGGUUAAUACCCCGCUGUUCUGACGGUACCCAAAGAAUAAGCACCGGCUAACUUCGUG